rnacentral:rRNA from 1 species
AGAGUUUGAUCAUGGCUCAGGACGAACGCUGACGGUGUGCUUUAGACAUGCAAGUCGAACGAGAAAGCCCUUCGGGGUGAGUAUAGUGGCGAACGGGUGAGUAACACGUGGGUAACCUGCCCCUCGCAGGGGGACAACCGGGGGAAACCCCGGCUAAUACCCCGUACGCUUGCCGGGUCGCAUGGCCUGGUAAGGAAAGGUAGCUUCGGCCAUCCGGCGAGGGAUGGGCCCGCGGUGCAUUAGCUAGUUGGUGGGGUAACGGCUCACCAAGGCGACGAUGCAUAGCUGGUCUGAGAGGAUGAUCAGCCACACUGGGACUGAGACACGGCCCAGACUCCUACGGGAGGCAGCAGUCGGGAAUCUUGCGCAAUGGGCGAAAGCCUGACGCAGCAACACCGUGUGGGCGACGAAGGCCUUCGGGUCGUAAAGCCCUGUUGUUGGGGACGAAGGGCAAAGGGUUAAUAGCCCUUAGCCUGACGGUACCCUUCGAGGAAGCCCCGGCUAACUACGUGCCAGCAGCCGCGGUAAUACGUAGGGGGCGAGCGUUGUCCGGAAUUAUUGGGCGUAAAGAGCGUGUAGGCGGUUUGGUAAGUCUGCCGUGAAAACCCGGGGCUCAACCCUGGGCGUGCGAUGGAUACUGCCGGGCUAGAGGGUGGUAGAGGCGAGUGGAAUUCCCGGUGUAGCGGUGAAAUGCGCAGAUAUCGGGAGGAACACCAGUAGCGAAGGCGGCUCGCUGGGCCAUUCCUGACGCUGAGACGCGAAAGCGUGGGGAGCAAACAGGAUUAGAUACCCCGGUAGUCC